rnacentral:rRNA from 1 species
UACGUAGGUGGCAAGCGUUGUCCGGAAUUAUUGGGCGUAAAGCGCGCGCAGGCGGCCUUUUAAGUCUGAUGUGAAAGCCCACGGCUCAACCGUGGAAGGUCAUUGGAAACUGAAAGGCUUGAGUACAGAAGAGGAAAGCGGAAUUCCACGUGUAGCGGUGAAAUGCGUAGAGAUGUGGAGGAACACCGAUGGCGAAGGCAGCCCCCUGGGCUGAGAUUGACGCUCAGGCACGAAAGCGUGGGGAGCAAACAGG